GUUGUAGCUCAGUGGUUGAGCACUUGCUUUGCAUGCAGAAGGUCCCGGGUUCAAUCCCCACCAUCUCCA